rnacentral:tmRNA from 1 species
GGGGGCGACCUGGCUUCGACGCGGGUAGCAAAACCUGAGGUGCAUGCCGGGCAUGACGAUCAUCCCGUUAAACUGUUCUUCAAAUUAUAGUUGCCAACGACGACAACUACGCACUCGCUGCUUAAUACCCAGUAGGGUGCCAUCCGACCAAUGCCGUGCUUGUGCGAUUGGAUUCCGGGUGUCAUCUCUCACAAGAUCGCGUGGAAGCUCGCCCGGGGCGGAAGCGUUAAAACCUUACCGGGAUCGCUUUGUGUCUUCCGUGCCUGACCGGUAGCGCAGAGUUAAACCAAUAGUCAGGAUAAGCAUGUAGAGCCAACGGCGGAGUGCUCACGGACGCGGGUUCGAUUCCCGCCGCCUCCACCA